UACGGAGGGUGCGAGCGUUGUCCGGAAUCACUGGGCGUAAAGGGCGCGUAGGCGGCCUGAUAAGUAGGGGUGAAAUCCUGUGGCUUAACCGCAGGGCUGCCUUCUAAACUGUCGGCUAGAGCACAGUAGAGGCAGGUGGAAUUCCCGGUGUAGCGGUGGAAUGCGUAGAGAUCGGGAAGAACAUCAGUGGCGAAGGCGGCCUGCUGGCUGUUGCUGACGCUGAGGCGCGACAGCGUGGGAGCAAACAGG
rnacentral:rRNA from 1 species